GACGAACGCUGGCGGCGUGCUUAACACAUGCAAGUCGAACGGUAAGGCCCUUCGGGGUACACGAGUGGCGAACGGGUGAGUAACACGUGGGUGAUCUGCCCUGCACUUCGGGAUAAGCCUGGGAAACUGGGUCUAAUACCGGAUAGGACUCCGGACUGCAUGGUCUGGGGUGGAAAGCUUUUGCGGUGUGGGAUGGGCCCGCGGCCUAUCAGCUUGUUGGUGGGGUGAUGGCCUACCAAGGCGACGACGGGUAGCCGGCCUGGGAGGGUGACCGGCCACACUGGGACUGAGAUACGGCCCAGACUCCUACGGGGGGCAGCAGUGGGGAAUAUUGCACAAUGGGCGCAAGCCUGGUGCAGCGACGCCGCGUGAGGGAUGACGGCCUUCGGGUUGUAAACCUCUUUCAGCAUCGACGAAGCGAAAGUGACGGUAGGUGCAGAAGAAGGACCGGCCAACUACGUGCCAGCCGCCGCGGUAA
rnacentral:rRNA from 1 species